CUGUCUGGCCUGGUUGCAGCAGCCCUCAAUCCUCAGAACAGAUACGGUGCGGGCAGCAGCAGGGCAAGCUCCCACACGGUGCCCCAUCAAGGUGCACUCAUCUUCAGAUGGGGGACACCCUCUCCAGGAGGCAGAUCAGUCUCCAUGACCCACUCAGUCCUUGAUCUCU
rnacentral:sRNA from 1 species